rnacentral:rRNA from 1 species
CCUACGGGAGGCAGCAGUGGGGAAUAUUGCACAAUGGGCGAAAGCCUGAUGCAGCAACGCCGCGUGAGCGAUGAAGGCCUUCGGGUCGUAAAGCUCUGUCCUCAAGGAAGAUAAUGACGGUACUUGAGGAUGAAGCCCCGGCUAACUACGUGCCAGCAGCCGCGGUAAUACGUAGGGGGCUAGCGUUAUCCGGAAUUACUGGGCGUAAGGGGUGCGUAGGUGGUUUCUUAAGUCGGAGGUGAAAGGCUACGGCUCAACCGUAGUAAGCCUUUGAAACUGGGAAACUUGAGUGCAGGAGAGGAGAGUGGAAUGUCUAGUGUAGCGGUGAAAUGCGUAGAUAUUAGGAGGAACACCAGUUGCGAAGGCGGCUCUCUGGACUGUAACUGACACUGAGGCACGAAAGCGUGGGGAGCAAACAGGAUUAGAUACCCGGGUAGUC